rnacentral:rRNA from 1 species
UACGUAGGGGGCGAGCGUUGUCCGGAUUUAUUGGGCGUAAAGAGCGUGUAGGCGGCCAGGUAGGUCUGCUGUGAAAACUCGAGGCUCAACCUCGAGACGUCGGCGGAAACCAUCUGGCUAGAGUCCGGAAGAGGAGAGUGGAAUUCCUGGUGUAGCGGUGAAAUGCGCAGAUAUCAGGAGGAACACCCAUUGCGAAGGCAGCUCGCUGGGACGUUACUGACGCUGAGACGCGAAAGCGUGGGGAGCAAACAGG